GAAAUCUUGUCCACAAUCAAAACUAAAACAUGAAAAAAUUGUUUUGGCCCAUUUGACGAUUCCUUCCAAAAGAAAAGGUAGCUUUGUAAGACCUUGUAGCUUUUAAAGAUCAUUUUAAGAAAUUUCGAAACGGAUACAUAGUCAAGUAGAAGAUAGGGGUCAAAGAAGUCACAUUACAACACAUGGUUUUCAGAGAAUUAAUUAGUGUCAAUGAAGGAGAACUUAACUGUUCAGGAGUCAGAGAAGUUCUUAAAGAAAUUUUUACAGAACUGGUGGUGCAGGGAACGACGGCGCAUACUUAAGGGGUUAUAUACAUUGCGGUGCGGGAAAAUGGGGAAAAGUUUGGAUUUUUGUAAAAGUAUUUAGCCUAUUUUAUAUGAAAUUCUUGUUAUUUAUUUUGAGUAAUACAAUAUGUCAUGUGUUAAAUCAGCUUGAGCUCAUGAAAAAAUAUUAACAAUUAACGAAGUUAUUGCAAUCGGCGCAAAACGCUUUUUUUUCGAAGAGGCUUGCGGUGACUACGAUGCCGAUCCAACUGCUCAGCUGAAAUCAUAAAACCAAGCCAAUUUCAUUAGUAUAGCCACUCGUGGUUUCCUUGAACGAUUCAUACGAUUGGAAAAAUUUUUUUUUCUAAACUGGG
rnacentral:sRNA from 1 species